CGCCAGCCGACACGGUGUCCAUCGCUCACCCUCAGCUGGUGAGCCACUCAACCUCUACCGUCAACCGGACGGUGCUACGAGUGGUAAUGGUGUGGACUCUGCUAAAGGUAUGCAAAUCUUUGUUCCUAAAAUCAACGACAAGCAAAAGUUCCCUCAGGAUGGAACAGGAGAUAUAGUGGAGUCCUUUGGUAAAUUGAAGCUGUCUGAAG